UCCCCGGUAGUCCAGUGGUCAGGACUCGGUGCUCUCACUGCCAGGGGCCCAGGUUCAAUUCCUGGUCGGGGAA